UUCGCAGAUCGUUUGCCGUUAUCGCGGCCAUAAUCAUAAAACCAUAAACCUCCAUCAGAGAUCUCGGCACUUGUUGCGACCGAUUCAAUUCAAAUUAUAUUUUGCCUUGUCUUUGAUUUACUUUUAUUUGCCGAGAGGGCUACAAACAAUUGAACCAUUAUCGCGAUCGGCUCCUGGCCACAGUAAUAGUAUAGUGGGUUUGGAGCUAUCUCACCUGUAGAGGAUCACUCUGCUGCAGUAGAAAGCCCUUUUAAAGCCUAUGAUUCAAGUGUAAUCUCUUGUUUUGUGCACUUUUUCACAGAAUUGUGUCGGCAAGAGUUGGUGAUUAUCCAGGUCUAAUUGUUUUAUGGCCUCCGAGUAGAGUCGUCCACACAUCGGAUUUCAUGCGAAUUCUGGGGAAGCCUAUAUAGGUUUAAGCGAUGUGUCAACUUUGAAAGUUUAUCAUUGAUGUAAUUAUCAUUAUAUAAGGAGAAAGUGGGUGGGAUAAUAACUAAAUAAACGGUGUCCCUGAAAUCUAUAAAACCAAUCAGCGAGGCUCGGUCAAGGGAUGAGGUGAACACCUGAAAUUUCGACAAUUUCACUAUUUUUUGGGCUUUUGUUCCGGCAUUCCUGCAACCAAAACCGACUUAAAGGCUACUUAUCUGAUAAUCGAGGUACUCGACUGUAGCUUCCUUUCCUGCUCUUAUUUCUUUUAAUUUAAUUUACUUUUGUGCGUAAAACAAAUUGUAACAAGAAGGGAAGCUAGCUUCGGCAAGCCGAAGUUUCUUUACUCCUGUAGGUCGUUCCCAUGGCAGCUAUAUGCUAAAAAGGCGCCCGAUUUUGAAUGUAUUAAAAAACGCCAAAGUUAUAAUAUUCUUAAAUUUUUUAAAUAAUAUUUAUUGAUCAUUCCUAUGGGAGCUAUAGGAUGUAGUUGUCCGAUCCGGCUCGUUCCGAUUAUAUACUAUCUGCGAUAGAAAUAGGAAUUUUGGGAAGGCUUCAUCCCGCUAAAUUUAAAACUGAGAGACUAGUUUGCGUCAAAACGGCAAGAUCGUCUAGUGAUGCUUAUCAAGAAUAUAUAUUUUGUGGGGUCGGAAACCUCCCCCUUCACUGCGUUGCAAACUUCUGACUGAAAUCAUUAUACCCUCUGCAUGGGUAUAAAAACCAUAACUUUUUGGGUUACAGGUGUUUACUACUGUGGCAAAAAGUAUGAUCAAUAUGUUUGUAAAUAUUUAAAAUACACUUAGGCCAGCGUUUUUUCCAAUCAUCGAAUCAUGCCUAAUUUCCAGUAUAACCAUAAGCGCCUUCUUCGAUUUUUGUUAUCUCCGCAUUUGACUUGAAACGCGUUCCCUGGAGAAGUUUCUCUAGUUGCGGAAAUAGCCAGAAGUCACAGAAGGCUUAAAUCAGGCAAAUACGGUGGUUGCGGAAUGAUAUGCGUCGAAUUUUUGGCGAAAUAGUCACGAAGAACGAGUGAAAAGUGAGCCGGUAGAUUACACGAACUGCUUCUCCCAAACGUCGCAUAACGCUCAAAUAAUAAUCCUUGUUAGCAGAUUGGCCGGGUGAGGGGAAUUCACAUUCAAAAACAAAAAUUCAUUGAAAAUGCUUUAUGUUUAUUUAGAUUGAUCCUUUAGAAUUCAUUUGAGUCAGUUUUUUAACACAAUAUCGACCAAAUUGCCACCUUUGUUUUUAAUGGCAAAUAGUGUCCUUUUUCAAGCAUUUUCCAUGACUUUCUCGAGCAUAUCGGCCGAUAUAUUGGCCAUUACGGUGCUAAUACUCUAGUUAAAAUUUUUAUUUGUAAUUUCAAGAACACAAAUUUAGCUAAUAAUAAAUAUCCUUUUAAAUUAUUGUAGAAUUGUCGGAAGUGCGAUCCAAUCGAUGCAGAUAUUAGUGCGAAAAAAUUACUUCAAACAAUAAGAUGUACAAUAAGAUUGUACGAACACAGCACUAUUUAUUUUGUAUUAUUAUGAAGUAUAUUUGUACCCCAAAAUUUCGGCUAAUACCCCCUUCCCAUAGAGUCCAUCCGUUCGAAUCGGUUGGGAUUUUUGACAAAUGUGAAACUCCGAUUCCCACAGGGCACAUCUACCAUCCGACAACAGCUGUCAAGUCAGCUGUGGCUAAUAAAAACACAAGCAAAAAUUGUGAAAGUGGAUUUUGCCAGACCAAAAUGAAACAUUUACCAACUGUUUUGGCUGUUGUACAACAGCAAAAUAUUAAGUUGAAUAAGCUUUUAUUGGCAGCCAAUUCAGAGGAGUGGAAUGACGACGAAUUGGAUCUGUACGAAACCAUUUUUCUGCAAAAGAGCAAAUGCCACGAAGUGUGUGGAUGCUGAUGCGAUACGGGACAUUUUGGGAAAAGGAUAUACCGGAAAACAACGACGAGUUCUUCAAAGAGAACUUUCGUAUGGAGAAGAGGACCUUUUCGUUUUUGGUCGACCGACUAUGUGUUUUGCGGAAGAAUUGGCGAAAUGCCAUUCCUCUGGAAAAGCGGUCGCUAUAGCCUUGGGAUCAUUAGCGGUUUGUUGGGAAUGGUCUUGACAGCCACUACAAGAAUAAUAAUGCAGUCAUUUUAGCCUGUCGCAUUUUGCACAACAUUUUAAAUGAGCACAACAGCGCUAUAAAUGAAACUUGGCAACAGGCUGCAAGUGACCUACGCGAACAACCAAAUCGGACUAAUAUGUCUGCAGAUUUUAGCCAUCCUGCAGAAAAAAUAAGGGCAGCUAUUUCCCAAUAUUGUCUAAAUGGUAACCAAUAACGUUCAUUAAUUAUAAAUCUGUUUGUUUUUUAUUAAU